UGUGAAGCGCUCACUUAAACAUCGGCAAUAGUAACCUCCACCUCAACACCAGGCUCAAUAGUGAUGGAGGUGAUCUGCUUGACAACCUCAGAGGGACUGUGCAAGUCGAUCACUCGCUUGUGCACACGCAACUCAAACCUAUCCCAGGUGUUGGUACCUGCGAGGUCACAAGGUUUACGAGUUAGACCAGUCGCAUGCUGAGAUAUUGUCGAAUAGUCUUAAAAAAGUGAGUGAUUAUUACACACAACUGUCAUUACAACCUGGCUGAUAACUAGACUAGAACCGAUAACCCGUCUAGCAGGCACUAUACCAUGGGAGACAUCGAGCACAUGGGAAUCCAGGUAAAUUAACUUCAACAGGUAAUAAUUACAUUGAAAGGAGUAAUAUUGAUGUUGCGGUUUAAUUUUCAACAGAGUCAAGUCUAGCAUGACAGAUACAGAAAUCAAUCCAUUCAGGACUAACGCCGGCUUUCCAUGAUAAAAGCCAUCCAUGUAGCGAAUCACAGUCACAGCCAUACGAAAUUACAGACAAUCUGAAAUAAAACAUACCUUCCCCACAAGGAGACUUCCUGGUGGUAAUGUGCAGCACCUUGGUGGGCAUGCGAACAGGACCCUUCACUUUGAGCCUCUUGUCCUUAGCACCCUUGAUCAGAUCAGCGCACACUGACCACGCAACCAAACCGUCAGCGACAUGGUACAAAAAACAUAUAAACCAAACAUCUAUUAACCUCUCACGAACCAAUCAAACUCUAAAAACUAUUCCAUGCACUAUUCAGUAAAAAGAGGCGAAAAAACACCUCAAAAUACAAAAUACAAAAAAACAAAAUAAAAUAGAAAUAAGAAUAAAAUCUUGAGACUUGGGCACCACUUCAUAAACCCCUAGACGAAAGACGCAGCAGCAGAGUGCGUCACGACCUACAUAAGAUCCUCCGCGAAAAGAACGAGGAACCCUAAAAUAUGGACAAACCAUGCGGGAAGGAAACGCAGCCUACCCUUCUCGAGGUUCUUCACAUUCUUGGAAGAAAGGGUGAUACGAAUGCGGUGGACAGUCUCAAUUGCCUCCUCCACUCCAGCCUUUCCAGGCUUGAUUGGCAUCGCCAUGUUGAACGACUGAACGAUACUCUAGGGUAACCCCCGAGACAGACACCAGA
rnacentral:lncRNA from 1 species